UCAGGAUCACGAAGCAAUGCGUACACGUCAUGGAUGACGUAGAUCCGUUACCAACACUAAAUCAAAAAUACGCGCCGCAAUACGUGGCAAUACGGAUCAAAAUCGAUCAAUUUGGGGGAAAUUAUAUUGGUACGACUGAUAGCGAAACAUAUGCUAAAGUUUUAUCGAUUUCACAAGUGUCAUUGGUGUCAACUUUGGUUAUGUUGUGUUAUUGUUUGAUUUUUAGCGUUUUUCUACUUUUCUGCUCGUGUAAUCGUAUCAGUUCUUUUCAGAACUAUAACAGUUCUUUUUAGAACUCCAAGUUAACUGUCGUAUACCGUGGUACGUGUCGCUUGCUUGAACGUAAACAUUCCACCAUGCCGAAGCCCUUGCACAAAGAUGCAAAGCAAAUGGUCGCUAAUUUAGUGGACUAUUUUGCUAAAGAACGCGAUAGCGGGGGACCUCUUUUACCACUAACAGCUGUUCAAGACAGGGUUGCUGCUACUCUGGGUGUGUGUGUGCGAACAGUGAACUCCGUGGUACAACAAAUAAAAACCGGAGAAGGUGUACAUUCUCCCAAGAAAUAGAGACCCCCGAACAAAGCAAGUGUGUGAUAUUAGCACUUCGGAGCAGUGUGCUAUUCGAGAAUACUUAUAUGGAAUGGUCGAAAAAAAAAUACAUGUUACACGAUCGUCAUUACUUGACUGCUUGAAGAAGAAACAUAUAUUUGAGGGUUCUCUGAGCUCGUUAGGAAGAAUUUUACAUUCUCUAUUGGGUUUCGUUAUUCUCCAACAAGUGUACAGAAGCGUCUUAUGGAAUUACAUGUUAUUCAUGCAAAAACACACUUCUUACGUGAAUACAUGCACAAUCAGCAGAACCCAAAUCCUUUGCCAUGUGAUCUUGAUGAAACAUGGAUAUUUGAAAAUGGUUCAGUAGUUAGGUCCAUAGCAAGACGAUAGUGUCAAAAGUAUCAGGACGUUCAAAAUAGAAGGGAAAAAUAUAUUGUAUUCCAUGUAGGUACAAGCAAUGGAUUUAUUGAUGAAGCAGCCCUGGUAUUUUCUUCUAAUACCAAAAAUCCAGACUAUCAUGGCGAAAUGAAUCAACAGAAUUUUCUCAAGUAGUUUCAGUUACUCAUGAAUCUUGAAGAACCAUCACUGAUUAUUAUAGACAAUGCAAGCUACCACAGUACCCUUGCAAACAAAUGUCCCAAUGGUUCAUGGAAAAAAGCAGAAAUUCGUGAACGGCUUUAACAACAUGACAUAAGUUCAGAUCCACAGCUGUUAAAAACGGAACUUCAUCAUUUGGUUGCACAAAAUAAACAUCCAAAAACGUAUGUUGCCGUGAAUUGGGCCAACAGAAUGGCCAUAGAGUAUUGCGUUUGCCGCCAUAUCAUUGUGUGUUUAACCCUAUAGAAAAUAUUUGGGAAAUUACUACAAAUUAUUAUUCCAAACACAUUGGGCGUGAUGGUUAUGGUCAAACAAAAUUCAGUGGAAAUGUGGAAAGAAGCGUUAGCACAUGUCACGCCCACAAUGUGGAAAAAUACUGUUGACCAUAUGAAUAAAAUAAUACGGGAGUGGUGGGAACGGGAAUUAUUAUUUGACCGUGAAGAGGUUGCGCCGUUUAUAAUCGACAUUAACGAAGAUUCAGAUUAUAGUUUUAGUGAUUAUGACAGUGAAGAUUCUAAUACUGCAGAGGGCAUUCAGCCACUGUAACAUGUAGGUUAUUUUCCAUUAUUAUUAUUAUUAGUACAAAAAUAAGGAUGGAGGUAAAACCUAUGCAUCCAGAUAGAAAUAAGAGACAAUUUCAAUAACGAAUGAAAAAAAAAAGCUGCACUCCUAAAUAAUACAAAUAAUAAUUGGAUAUACCUACUAGAACUUAUAAAUUGAAAGCGUCGAAUCUGUUCUUGAAGCAGUUAACACUGGGAGAAUUAACAAUUGUAUCAGGAAGGCUGUUCCAUUGGUUCACCACACGGUUUACAAGAAAAUUUGAGCGAGACCUGGAAGAAGUUCUUUCUUUGAUCAAAUUGAACUGAUGUCUUCUGAGUCUAUCAUUGAUAUUCAAACGAUACAUGUACGCUAAGUUCGAUCCUAUGAUAUUAUGCAGUACUUUAAAAGUGAAAAUUUGGUCGCCACAGGAUCUUCUGUUGGCUAUUGUAUCCAAUCCAUACAUUUCAAGCCGUUCUUCAUAGGAUGGUCUUGUCCUACCAAAUGGUAAGCGGGUUGCGCGCCGCUGGACAGCUUCCAAUUGGUUGGUGUCCCUAAUUAAGUCGCAGCUCCAUACUGAACCGCAGUACUCUAAAAUUGGUCGAACAUAAGUUAUAUAGAGCUUCUUCGUUAGUGCAAUAUUCAAUGAGACAAAUGUUCGGCUUAUCAAAUACAGUUGACGGUUGGCUUUGUUACAAAUGUUGGCAAUAUGAGUAGACCAUUCUAACUUGUUUGUAACAGUUACACCUAGGUCACAGUGUGACGUUUCUUCUUUUAGGCGAUGAUUACCUAACCAGUAGCUGUUCAUGGGAUUAUCGGGACCGAAAUACAAGACUGUACAUUUGUCGGUAUUGAGAGGUAGUAGCCAGGUUUCGCACCAUUGAUAGAUUAUAUUUAGAUCUUCCUGUAUGUUGUCAUGAUUACUUGAAUGAUCGUAGAUUUUUGAAUCGUCAGCGAAAAAGGGAGAUUUGGAAGAGAUGAGUUUGGGAAGGUCGGCAAUGUAUAUGAUGAAAAGAAGCGGUCCUAGGACACUACCCUGGGGAACCCCACUUGUGACAGGUCUUAAAAUAGAAAAAGUCUGUCCCACACGUACUUUGAAUGAUCUUGUUGACAGAUAAGCCUCGAUCCAGCUUAAAAGUGUUCCGGUUACUCCGUAUGAUCUGAGUUUGAGAAGCAGUCUUCUUUUGGGAAUUCUGUCGAAUGCCUUCGAAAAGUCUAAGUAGAUGACGUCAACAGGGAUACGACUUUCGAAGGCUUUAGUCCAGUCGUCGAUACACUGCAAUAGAUUGGUUGUUACCAUCCUAAUUGAUUGUACUAGCGGCAUGUUUUGCUGAUGUCUUUUAUAAUCACACUAUCACUUCACUGGCCAAAUAUACAGAUCACUGGUCAGAUGAAGACGUUGUGAAACAUCAAUAGUUAUUAUUAUUUAUAGUUUACUUUUGUAUCUAUUCCAUGUCAAUAAAGUAACUUAUUCUGUA